AUAAAAUCUCAACAGAUGGACUGAACUUCAGAUUCUUCUCCCUGUUGUGGUCCUUCUCUUACUGGAUAUUGGGUGGUGUCAUGGUUAGAGACUUUGGAUGCAGGAGCUCUGAACAGUAACAAUAUUCAUCCAGUUUUCAUAAGCUUGUAGCAGUGGGAGCAUCAUCUGCCUUGGGGAGCCUGAGACUUCAAGUGGUGGUCCUGCCCUAUUUAUAGGCAAACCUGUCUCUAUGUCAGAGAAUGGUCACAAUGAAUGCUUCUGUGAUGUGAUCAUAUAAGAAAGACCCCUACAGGGUAAGGAAGUUAUGACCAUAUUUGGAUUCAAAGCACAACUUCAUAAAACAACCAUGACUGAUGACAGCUAAAAUAAAAUGAUUUAACAAUAGUAUUAAUAAAAUCAAACUAUAAAUCCAGAUCUAAGCAGCUCAUCACUAAAACAUCAUUUAAAAAUCAGUUAAGACUGACAACAAGAAUAAAAUGCAAUGCCCCAUGGAUAUUUGAAAUCUUCUGCUAUGAAGGCCCUAACUAUGGGCUUAAAGCUUUUUAACAUCCGUAGCUCACACUGUGUACUACUACAGGAAGGUGAAAUAGCCCUUGUUGAACCUCCUAAUGUGCAGCAGUUUUGGGAAAUGUCAACUAACAACAAAAUGAUGUCUCCCACGUGAACAAAUCGCUGCUCCAGCAAAGCCAGGCAAAAUGAUGUUCCAAGAUGCUGAAGGAGGAUCACAGAGGAACAGUCUUUCAUUAAAACCUGAAGCCGCAAAAUUGUUUCUGUCUGUGUCAAUUACUUUGUCCAUGCAUAUUCAAUUCUUUUUUUAAAAGAGGGAGUUGUGAGUUUGAAAUUUCUCAGCAAUCUUCUGGAAAGAGGUUAUCCUGGUUUCUCAAAAGACCUUAGUUCUUGAAAUUCUGCACCUGGUUUUAAUGUACAGUAUUUGAAAAAGCAUAAUUUCAAGUUGGACUGCAAUAAUCACCAUUAUUCCAAAAACGAAUGACAAUUGUUGUACGUGAUAGUUUAACUAAAGUAUUUCAGCUAAGACGCAACUUAAAAUGAAUAAACCAAAAUAACAUCUGGCCA
rnacentral:lncRNA from 1 species